rnacentral:rRNA from 1 species
GUAGGUGGCAAGCGUUGUCCGGAAUUAUUGGGCGUAAAGCGCGCGCAGGCGGUCCUUUAAGUCUGAUGUGAAAGCCCACGGCUCAACCGUGGAGGGUCAUUGGAAACUGGGGGACUUGAGUGCAGAAGAGGAAAGCGGAAUUCCACGUGUAGCGGUGAAAUGCGUAGAGAUGUGGAGGAACACCAGUGGCGAAGGCGGCUUUCUGGUCUGUAACUGACGCUGAGGCGCGAAAGCGUGGGGAGCAAACAGGAUUAGAUACCCUGGUAGUCCACGCCGUAAACGAUGAGUGCUAAGUGUUAGAGGGUUUCCGCCCUUUAGUGCUGCAGCUAACGCAUUAAGCACUCCGCCUGGGAGUACGGCCGCAAGGCUG